AGCUAAAGUAAACCAUGUGAUCACCCUCGCGCCCGACAGAGUCGCUGUAAUGAAUGCUCGGGAAGUUAUGGAGAGAAAGGAGACGAUCCCAGUGAUUAAUGCCAAAGCCCUGUUGCCUGGGGAGAGGGUGAUGUUUGACUUUCUUGUACAGCUGCAGUUUGUGUGGUGAAGGUGCUCCCACAAUGUGGUUGGCUGAGCCCCUCCCUCUCGCUGGGUGCAGUCUGAGGUAGAACGAGACUCUUCACAACAUUCUUGUCAUAUCUGGAACCCCAAGGAUACUACAGGUGGACAUUCAGAUGGUAAUCUCAGUCAUUGUAACACCAAACUCUGAUUGAAUUAGUCAGUUCAUCAGGACCUGGAUAUUCGCAUUGUGUGGUGCUACAUGGUGAAGGUUUGCAGACUGAAAUCUCAAAAUCAUGUGCAGAUUGUGAU